rnacentral:rRNA from 1 species
GACGAACGCUGGCGGCGUGCUUAACACAUGCAAGUCGAACGGAAAGGCCCUGCUUUUGUGGGGUGCUCGAGUGGCGAACGGGUGAGUAACACGUGAGUAACCUGCCCUUGACUUUGGGAUAACUUCAGGAAACUGGGGCUAAUACCGGAUAGGAGCUCCUGCUGCAUGGUGGGGGUUGGAAAGUUUCGGCGGUUGGGGAUGGACUCGCGGCUUAUCAGCUUGUUGGUGGGGUAGUGGCUUACCAAGGCUUUGACGGGUAGCCGGCCUGAGAGGGUGACCGGCCACAUUGGGACUGGGGUACGGCCCAGACUUCUACGGGAGGCAGCAGUGGGGAAUAUUGCACAAUGGGCGGAAGCCUGAUGCAGCAACGCCGCGUGCGGGAUGACGGCCUUCGGGUUGUAAACCGCUUUCGCCUGUGACGAAGCGUGAGUGACGGUAAUGGGUAAAGAAGCACCGGCUAACUACGUG